GGCAGGACGCCGGGGGACAGGUGCAGCAGCCAGCCGCGCCUCGCCCCGUGCUCUGCAGGCUCCCGUAGGCCUCGACCCGGCCUCGACAGGAGGAGCUCGAGCCGACUCGGCAGAAGGAGUAUAGCAGCAGACAUGCCCGUGAGUUUCUCUCUCUAAUCCCCUUGAAACUACAUUCCCGAUCUGGAGCGGGAGGCCAGGGAUGCCUCGUAUGUGUCUCCGUAAUUUUCUUCUCAGUUUGACAAGGAAUAUGCCUAUGGUACUCUUCUGAUUUUGGGUGUAGAUUCUGAUUUUGUUGGCAAAACAAUGGCAGAUUUCUCCAUUAGCUUAUAUGAUUUGGGGCUGAUUUUCCUUGUGUGAUUCCUGUUCAUGGCCUUGCUGUGGGAGAUUGCAAAAGUGAAGUGAAUUAAGUGUGAAAAAAUAGCAGGAGCAAUGCCUGGGCUGUAGAUUUCUCCAUUAGUUUAGUCAUGGCUAAUAUGAACUUCUCUAUUAUAUUACUUAUGGAUUGUUCAGUAAAAUGAAACCUCAUGGUGUGGCAUGUCACCUCCCUUGCACAUAUACUUGUACCCAAUUUAGGCCAUCAGUAGAACUGUCUAUAUUGUACAGGUCAACUAAUACACAGCACCCCGGCGGCCGGUGCAUACAUAUAACUGCACGCACACACAGCGCCACCUGACUCCUAUUUCUUCAGUGCAGCACCGUGACAUGGCCAUACUCUGUAUGGACACAGUGGCAGAUUACAAACUCUGUGCAAUAGUGGAUCUAAUAAACAAGAUGUCUUAGGUUUGAAAGCAACAUGCAGAUAAGGAGAUAACUUUGGAUAUGUUAUUAUCUUUACCAUUAUACGUAUAUAAUUUCUUAAUGUACGAUGGAGCUGACCUCACGGGUUGACUGACGGCGACACGAAAGUUGGAGGGAGCCAACCAUCUCUACGGCCCAUGCUCCUCUUGCCAACGAUGACCGCGCCGUGAACCAGGGCUGCCGCUCGAGCUCCUCCUGGGUCCAGGUCAUGCUAUGUUUUAGUGCUCAUGGAGUUCCUCUGGCAUACGUUGGUUCUGGUGAUCCGUAUAAAACAUAGAUGGAAGACUAUGGAUCUUAUCAUGGAUGAGCUCAAAGAUACAGGAAUCUCAAAUCCAUGUAUACAUCAAUCACACUCAUACCCGCUAUGUCACAUAAGCAACUUCAGUUGUCCUUCGCUUGUGAAUUCACCAUCCAAAUAUUUUUGUUUUAUUGGAGAGCACAUAAAAUAUUUGGAGAAUCAAAGGUGAAUGUAAAUAAAACACUCACUGUAUGUUUGCAUGCACAUGAUCAGUACCUCCAUUUUCCUUUGUAGUAAUACUAAGAUACAAACAUUAUUUGUGUUCACUUUUUGGCCAUUUCAUACCUAUGUCGUCAAGAUUCUGUUCUGAUGUAGAAUAUUCAGUUUAGUUUGGCCUGCAUUUGUCCCAGAGAGCGAGUGUUCACAGGUCCAGUGCUUAUGUAAGUUAUUAUUUAGUCAAGCUUAUGUAAGUUAUUAUUUAGUCAAGAUUCCGUUCUGAUGCAUAAUAGCUAAUAACUUGCCUCUUAAGUUGUCUCUACAAACUAAAAUUUGAACUUUAAAACUUAUCUAGCCAUAGUUUUUGCAGCAAGAAUAGCAUGACUUAUUUUAUCUCCUUUUCGAGCUGGAACACUUGGCUAUUGUGAUUUUUCUUUGUAGACUUUCCUAUACUAUACAAAAUGUAUGUUGUGGAGAAAUUAUAAACUGCGUUACAAAUUGUUGUAAUGUUGUGUAGAAACUGAACAGGGACAAGCACAUGAAAUUAUAUGUUGUGGUAGAUUUCAAAAGAGACCCAGGGCCCAGAGUAGUUUUGCAAAAAUGGAGGAUACCAGACUGACCCAUGGAGCAUGAGAUCCUCCUUGUCAGGGGCCACCUUACUUGUAUGGCUUCAGGCUGAGGAGACCCUUCUAAUUAAGAAGAUUUGUGCUGCUGCUAUUGCGUUCUUCAGUUUCUGGUCAUUGGUUCAUCUGCAAAUGUGUGGACCUCACUCCCUUUUGCUCGAUUGCUCCACCUUGCUCCUUUGGCUGAUUAUAAUAGCUAUUUCCGCAGCCCAUGACGCUGGUUGAGGUUAGUCUUUCAGCAUAUGUUCUCUUCAUUACAUGUCCUUUAAAUUGCAGGAUAGGCCCUUACAAAUAAGUUAAUUAACUACAUGUCUGCAUUAAUAUAUUUUCCUGAUGGGUUUCCCUACUAUGGCUCAUGGUCAUAGAUGUAGUUUGCAUUUGCUGCUGUUGUUUCUCUCAAUAUUUCUAUCCCACUAUACUGUAUGUGUUCUAAAUCUACCGGUAUAUGAAAGAUGAUUAUCUCCAUUAUUAUUGUUCGUACAACCCUUUUUAUCCAAGAUUCAAAACACCUAACACGUGCCCUUUUUUAAGUAUCUUUUAUGCAGUCUAUUGGUUCUUAACUUACUACCAACUACUAGCGAAGAUAGCUUUCUGAAAUAAGCAUGCUAAGCAUGAACAUUGUUCUACUCACGGGAAGAACUCUCAGAGAUCCAGGCAGCGUCCAGAUUGCUGUUAUCAUCCUCCAUCAACAAAACCAUGGGGUCCUUGUGGGAGCUGCAUACAAAGUUACAAACCCGUGUGGAUGUAUUUGGUUGGUAGCUGCAACAGCCUGCCAAUCGGAUAAGAGAAGCCAAGGGGCCAUCAGCGAUGGUGUAGCUUCAGCAUCCUGUCAAUUGGAGGAGAGGCCAAGGAGUCAUCGGCAAGAAGCAACCUUAUCCUGGAACUUGAAGUGGAGUAAUGGUUAACAAUGUUUUAGGGAUCAUAUGUUUUCUUUUGUUCACACUUGAGAGCUACAAGCAUUAAGAUGUUACGAUAAAUUAUGUACCAAAGUUUGCUUUGUCCGUGGUCAUAUCUAUGUGUGUUAAUUUAUUUUCCUAUAGUCA